rnacentral:rRNA from 1 species
CAGUCGCCGCGGGAAUACAGAGGGUGCAAGCGUUAAUCGGAAUUACUGGGCGUAAAGCGCGCGUAGGUGGUUCGCCAAGUUGGAUGUGAAAUCCCCGGGCUCAACCUGGGAACUGCAUCCAAAACUGGCGAGCUAGAGUAUGGUAGAGGGUGGUGGAAUUUCCUGUGUAGCGGUGAAAUGCGUAGAUAUAGGAAGGAACAUCAGUGGCGAAGGCGACCACCUGGACUGAUACUGACACUGAGGUGCGAAAGCGUGGGGAGCAAACAGGAUUAGAUACCCCUGUAGUCCCUGUCUCUUAUAC